rnacentral:lncRNA from 1 species
UCUAGAUGUAGGGAUGACCGAGGCGACAUGCUUAAUCGAAGCUGCGUGGUAUGCGCUCAAGCAGUUGGUUUCCCCGCCGCCUUACAAUGCACCUGACCAAAGGAUGUUGCGACGAACCAUAGGAUAAUACGAACAUUUUGUGAACAGUGGAAACGUGGUUUUGGAGCGUGAUCAGCUGCGAUACUCUGCUCAUGAUGAUGGUGUCACCAGGUGCACCCCGCUGGCGCCCGUGGCUGCGUCCCAUGAUACGUGUACAAUGGUAUGAGGGUGCGAGUUCGGACGCUGCGGGGAGGGGGUGUAUGCAGGCGGUGGCAGCAAACGCUUCGCCAGAAGUUGCGUGUUUUGCGGCGGCCGCAGCUUCUCGGGUCGAACAUGAACGCAGGUUCUGAAAGAGAUGUGAGCAGCAUGGGGCUUGACGAAUGGCGGUCAUUUUGAGUAAGUGACUCAAACAGUGCGAUCCGAAUGGUGAGGUGUAAGUUGGAGACGACAAACGAUGGCAUGAAAGAGCCGAGAUUUUGUUGUGAGAGUGCAGCUGUUCCGGCUUAUGAACUGUGGUUAUCGUUGGUAGUGUCCCGACACAGGUGGGGAUCUCAAACAGCAGAGCAGGCAAGAUAGGUGUCUGGGUUUUCAAAGUGCACUAUCUCCUAGGUGGUGGACAGCGGUGCAUUUUGUGGUAUCCUCUUCUGGACGGUAGGGAGAUCCACAUGAGGGAGUCAACCAGCUGGCAUCAAGAGGUGAAGUAUACUGUCGCCGACUAGCGGUCAUCCGAUUCGUCACUCCGUUAACUGGAUGAUUGCCCUAUUGUGCUUUUCUAGGCAAUAGGAGUACGACAGAUGACUUUUGAGGCUUAGUAGAAGAUGAAUGAUUGGAUUUUCAGACGUCACUCGUCGGACUGCGUUGAGUAUUCGUUUUCUGCUACUUCAGAUUAUCCCGGAGCGCUGUGAAAUACCACAGUUUUUGAAACGGUUGAGCGAAAGUGUUGCCGUGCCGUCGAGUAUGGUAUCACGAUGAUGAGGGCACUGGAGCAAGGCAGAUGAUUUGUGUCUCCAAGGGUUUAAGCGCUGGUGGGGGUACGGCGGUAGGAGGACCGGAUGCCGAAACUUCAGAAGGAGCGAUACGUCGGCAGUGGGAGGAAACCGUUCGCUUUUUGCAGCAUGUGCUGCGGCGGGUGCACUGGCUUUGGGGAAGAGGGGUGAUCAGGCAGCUAGCUUCGGGACGAGGCGAAAAUAGAACAGAGGGAAAAAGUAAAGAGUGCUUGGAUAGCGGCAAUAGGGACCGGCAACGUCAAUUAUAUCGAGUGAUGAACUGCGCACUUUUUGUUUUUGGCGUGAUUCGAAGGAGCGAGUUGACGCCGGCGACGAGGCGGGAGCUUAUUAUGGUAGGGUCCUAAAUGCUUCAACUGAUGAGCUCUAUUAUCAGUGUCGGCUGUAUAGCGAGGUACAAGGCGAACGCGAGCGGUGGCGUAGGCGGCAGGUCCAACGAGGUUCCCACAGUGCACUUUCUGGUACCCAGUGGGUUGGGGUGAAUGUGAUGGCGUCGUCUUGAUGAGAACAGGGGCUGUCAUGGGCGCGUGUCUCCACUGACAUCAGAG